rnacentral:rRNA from 1 species
UAGGGAAUCUUCCACAAUGGACGAAAGUCUGAUGGAGCAACGCCGCGUGAGUGAAGAAGGUUUUCGGACCGUAAAGCUCUGUUGUUGGUGAAGAAGGAUAGAGGCAGUAACUGGUCUUUAUUUGACGGUAAUCAACCAGAAAGUCACGGCUAACUACGUGCCAG